GGCCGGGUCCCAUGCGAUCGGGCGGCGGCGAACCCCGCCAGGCCCGGAAGGGAGCAACGGUACCCGUUCGCCGAUGCGCCGUGGAAAAACCUGGCCGCC
rnacentral:SRP_RNA from 1 species